GCUGUCGCAAAAUCGACAGCCGGGAUUUGCAGCCCGUGUAACUUCAAGGCGACACAACACGCGCCGAGCGUGUUUUUU
rnacentral:sRNA from 1 species